UUUCUAGAAAAUGCUCUCUAGAACUCCAGCCCAUCUGUGUCGCGUGUCUACAGUGCUUCCAUUGGUGGUGUUACUGGACUGGGUUUGUUUUGGCCAAUUGCACAGCAAGCCGAAAGCUGAGACACGGAGGUUUGUAGCCAGUCACGGAAACAGGAGAAGCAUCUCACAUCCGCCUCCCCAAAGACAACGGCCUUGGGGUAUUUACUGGAUAAAGAAUAGAGCAGCAGGGCGGUUUGGCUUGAGGGGAGCAUGGGGAGAGGUGAUUGGAAAAUGGGAGAGUUGCGUUUUUGCACAGGUGUAACUACACUAAACGCCUCCACAAGAUCGAAAGGGCUGGGAAGACGCUGGCGCAUGCCCAGUGGAAGGGUUGGUGGUCCUAUCUGGUCUUAACCAGCUCAGUUUGAACUGGAUGAAGCGGACUCUGAGUUCCUGGGAAACAACCCUGGUGAAUGUUUUACUGUCCAGGCCAUGUGCCACUUGGAGGGCAGUUGAGUCUUAACCUGGAUCAGUAAAGGCAGGUGAAUUGGAUUUAUUCCACGGUGGGUACACAGAGGCAUCGCCAGGCCAGACAAGCACCUCGGAAGGUGGAGACGACUGUGAUCCUUCGAUACGCUGGCCCUGUCACCGCAGAAAGACCAGUGUCGGGACAGUCGUGCAAGGCUGAGGAGACAGGCUCGUAAACCAAUAAGCCUGAUGCUGGUGAUAAGGAUGGAACAAAGCAGUGCGGCUCCAGCAAUGAUGCAUGCGGUCUGAUCUGCGGGGAUGGAACCCAAAUAUAAGAUACAUUCUCACCCUGAGAGAGAUCCUGUCAUCCACGGGCCAUUUUCCAGAAUCUCGCUGAUACAUGUUCCUUCACCACCUCUGCCCAGGAGCGUCUAACCCCCUUCUGCACACGUCUGGUGAGGACUCUCCUUUCAAACAAGAACGCUCACUCUGCCAUCUGGGCUGAGGCUUGUUACAGAACCCUGCUCAAUUGAUCACUUUGGCUCAGUGAUUUGUAUGAGGUUAUCUGCACCUGCUCACAAAUAAAAAUUGUUCUGUCACGAGGAUGUGUCGGAUGGUUUUGUUAGUCAGAAAUGUAUUCAGUCUCAAGGAAGCCUCAGCUACUGAAUCAGGUAACCCUUCGGGCAAUUCUGAGACCAGAAGUCUUUCUGCAGAGGCAGAAAGUUCCCAGCAGAAGCCCCAUGUCCUGCUUUCUUUCUUUCUUUCUUUCUUUCUUUUUUUUGUCU